GACGUAGGAUGCGAGCGUUGUUCGGAAUUAUUGGGCGUAAAGCGUGCGUAGGCGGUCAUCUAAGUCUGGUGUUAAAGCUAGAGGCUCAACCUCUGUGUUGCACUGGAAACUGGGUGACUUGAGUGCGGUAGGGGAAGGUGGAAUUCCGAGUGUAGCGGUGAAAUGCGUAGAUAUCGUAAGGAAGACCAGUGGCGAAGGCGGGUCUCUGGACAGUUCCUGACGCUGAGGCACGAAGGCCAGGGGAGCAAAACGGG
rnacentral:rRNA from 1 species